rfam:Ovis aries breed Texel chromosome 1, whole genome shotgun sequence.
UCCCUGGUGGUCCAGUGGGUAAGACUCAGUACUCCCAAUGCAAGAGACCCAGGUUCAAUCCCUGGUCAGAGAA